AUCUGCGAUAAGCGUCGGUAAGGUGAUAUGAACCGUUAUAACCGGCGAUUUCCGAAUGGGGAAACCCAGUGUGAUUCGUCACACUAUCAUUACGUGAAUACAUAGCGUAAUGAAGCGAACCGGGGGAACUGAAACAUCUAAGUACCCCGAGGAAAAGAAAUCAACCGAGAUUCCCCCAGUAGCGGCGAGCGAACGGGGAGCAGCCCAGAGUCUGAAUCAGCUUGUGUGUUAGUGGAACGGUCUGGAAAGUCCGACGGUACAGGGUGAUAGUCCCGUACACCAAAAUGCACAGGUUGUGAACUCGAAGAGUAGGGCGGGACACGUGGUAUCCUGUCUGAAUAUGGGGGGACCAUCCUCCAAGGCUAAAUACUCCUGACUGACCGAUAGUGAACCAGUACCGUGAGGGAAAGGCGAAAAGAACCCCGGCGAGGGGAGUGAAAAAGAACCUGAAACCGU
rnacentral:rRNA from 1 species